rnacentral:rRNA from 1 species
UACGUAGGGGGCGAGCGUUGUCCGGAUUUAUUGGGCGUAAAGAGCUCGUAGGCGGUUUGGUAAGUCGGGUGUGAAAUCUCCACGCUCAACGUGGAGGGGCCACUCGAUACUGCCAUGACUCGAGUCCGGUAGAGGAGUGUGGAAUUCCCGGUGUAGCGGUGAAAUGCGCAGAUAUCGGGAGGAACACCAAUGGCGAAGGCAGCUCGCUGGGACGUUACUGACGCUGAGACGCGAAAGCGUGGGGAGCAAACAGG